rnacentral:rRNA from 1 species
CCCCAACUAUCCUUAUAACUUCGGUGAUCUAGAAACCACCAAAAUAGAACCAUGCCGUCCUAUUUUAUUAUUCCAUGUUAAUUUAUUCAAGCAAUAGCCUGCUUUAAGCACUCUAAUUUUUUCAAGGUAAUAGCUCUGCUUCCCCGGCCCACCAACUAAAUGGCAUGCCGGUUAUUCAGAAGGUAGGAACCCAUCACACCAGUGCGGACCGGGGAGCCCCACCCAAGGACAAAACCCCAAAUUCCACUACC